AACGUUUACCGCCUGAGGGGGACGCUGAUUCGCCGUGUGCAGGCCGCGAGUUGCUUGGUGUCCCAAGUCGGCACUUAGAAGAUAGUGGAGAGCGAUGACUGGGUCGUCAUCCUGACUUUGUUAACGUCACUUUACGUCCUGUCUACGGUUUAGUACCCUAAAGUGUGAUAUAUUCGACUUGUUUAUUCGAAGUGUUACUAUUCGACUUAACCUUGUCACCCCUGUGGCAUUUUGUGUGAUGAACACUGUAACCAAUUCUGACCCGAGCAACUCCGUUUCGGUCUUUGCGUCUUGGCCGAGAGCCUUUGCGGUGUCCCUCAGGUCUGACGUCUUAGCCGCGUGUUGAAGCCCUACCCGUAGUGAGAACUCGGUUCAGAUCACCAGUGACUCUGGGACUCACCCUCUUGAGAAGGAAUUCCUUCGUCCUUCGA
rnacentral:lncRNA from 1 species